UACGUGAGGGUGCGAGCGUUGUCCGGAAUUACUGGGCGUAAAGAGCUCGUAGGUGGUUUGUCGCGUUGUUCGUGAAAACCGGGGGCUUAACCCUCGGCGUGCGGGCGAUACGGGCAGACUGGAGUACUGCAGGGGAGACUGGAAUUCCUGGUGUAGCGGUGGAAUGCGCAGAUAUCAGGAGGAACACCGGUGGCGAAGGCGGGUCUCUGGGCCGAUACUGACGCUGAGGAGCGAAAGCGUGGGGGAGCGAACAGG
rnacentral:rRNA from 1 species